rnacentral:rRNA from 1 species
GACGAACGCUGGCGGCGUGCCUAAUACAUGCAAGUCGAGCGCAGGAAAUCGACGGAACCCUUCGGGGGGAAGUCGACGGAAUGAGCGGCGGACGGGUGAGUAACACGUAAAGAACCUGCCCUCAGGUCUGGGAUAACCACGAGAAAUCGGGGCUAAUACCGGAUGGGUCAUCGGACCGCAUGGUCCGAGGAUGAAAGGCGCUCCGGCGUCGCCUGGGGAUGGCUUUGCGGUGCAUUAGCUAGUUGGUGGGGUAAUGGCCCACCAAGGCGACGAUGCAUAGCGGACCGGAGAGGGGGAUCGGCCACACUGGGACUGAGACACGGCCCAGACUCCUACGGGAGGCAGCAGUAGGGAAUCUUCCACAAUGGACGAAAGUCUGAUGGAGCAACGCCGCGUGAACGAUGAAGGCCUUCGGGCCGUAAAGUUCUGUUGUAAGGGAAGAACAAGUGCCGCAGGCAAUGGCGGCACCUUGACGGUACCUUGCGAGAAAGCCACGGCUAACUACGUGCCAGCCGCCGCAGUAACAC